rnacentral:rRNA from 1 species
AUACGUAGGUGACAAGCGUUAUCCGGAUUUACUGGGCGUAAAGGGCGUGUAGGCGGUCUUGCAAGUCAGAAGUGAAAUUCCUGAGCUCAACUCGGGCGCUGCUUCUGAAACUGCAGGACUUGAGUGCUGGAGGGGAUAGCGGAAUUCCUAGUGGAGCGGUAAAAUGCGCAGAUAUUAGGAAGAACACCGGUGGCGAAGGCGGAUUUCUGGCCAGUAACGUACGCUGAGGCGCGAAAGCGGUGGGAGCAAACAGGAUUAGAUACCCUGGUAGGCCACGCCGUAAACGAUGAAUACUAGGUGUAGGGGGUAUCGACUCCCUCUGUGCCGCAGUUAACACAAUAAGUAUUCCGCCUGGGGAGUACGGCCGCAAGGUUGAAACUCAAAGGAAUUGACGGGG